rnacentral:rRNA from 1 species
UACGUAGGGGGGAAGCGUUGUCCGGAUUCAUUGGGCGUAAAGAGCGUGUAGGCGGCCAGGUAGGUCGGUUGUGAAAACUGGAGGCUCAACCUUCAGACGUCGACCGAAACCAUCUGGCUAGAGUCCGGGAGAGGAGAGUGGAAUUCCUGGUGUAGCGGUGAAAUGCGCAGAUAUCAGGAAGAACACCCGUGGCGAAAGCGGCUCUCUGGAACGGUACUGACGCUGAGACGCGAAAGCGUGGGGAGCGAACAGG